rnacentral:sRNA from 1 species
AUCCACCAUGUGAGGACACAGAGAGAAGACACCAUCUAUGAACCAGGAAAUGGGCCCUCACCAGACACUGAAUCUGCUGGUGCCUUGAUCUCAGACUUCUGACUCUCCAGAACUGGUCCAAGGUCGUAACCAGAUCAUACAACACGCGCCAGGAAAGCCCAAAAGAGGGGUGAUCCCUCGAUGGAGGUGCCGCAUCAGCGUUUUCUCACGUGGCCUCCGGGGCUCUAUGAAUGGCAAGAGAUUGCAUUCUUUCUACUACCCCUCCCAGCCUCCAGCCGGGACAAGGAACUAGAGCAAACUCGGGGUUGCAGUUCCGACUGGACUCGCCCACCUGGGCGCGCCGGCUGCCCAGCCUCCUGAAGCCUCGGGGCUGGGCCCUAAGGUGAUGGGCGUGCUGGCCGUCGCAGAGCCCUCUGGGAGUUGUAGUCCGUAGCGGCGAGAGGUUUGACAGCGACCGCGGGCUUGGCGCAUUCAGAACUCCAACUCCCGCCGGCCCCUGCGACCCAGGCUGUUGCCGCUUCCUGUUUGGACUAGGAGCCCCGCGGUCGCAAAUUGCGAGAAUUUGGGAAGGGAAUCUUUAUCUUCUCGUCUAGUUCUCCGAGGUUGAAGGCUUGGCCUGCUCAGAGAAGGAAACUGAGGUCCACCGAGUUGGAGAAACCCACUCAACACCAGGACUAACUUCUUCAGUGCUUAGAGUGUGAGAAAAAUGGCAAAUAUGAAUAGUGAUUCUAGGCAUCUUGGCACCUCUGAGGUAGAUCAUGAAAGAGAUCCUGGACCUAUGAAUAUCCAGUUUGAGCCAUCGGAUCUAAGAUCCAAAAG